rnacentral:rRNA from 1 species
UACGUAGGGGGCUAGCGUUGUCCGGAUUUAUUGGGCGUAAAGAGCGUGUAGGCGGCCAUGUAGGUCCGGUGUGAAAACUCGAGGCUUAACCUCGAGAUGUCAUCGGAAACCAUUUGGCUAGAGUCCGGAAGAGGAGAGUGGAAUUCCUGGUGUAGCGGUGAAAUGCGCAGAUAUCAGGAAGAACACGCGUGGCGAAGGCGGCUCUCUGGGACGGUACUGACGCUGAGACGCGAAAGCGUGGGGAGCGAACAGG